rnacentral:rRNA from 1 species
UACGAAGGGGGCUAGCGUUGUUCGGAAUUACUGGGCGUAAAGCGCACGUAGGCGGAUAUUUAAGUCAGGGGUGAAAUCCCAGAGCUCAACUCUGGAACUGCCUUUGAUACUGGGUAUCUUGAGUAUGGAAGAGGUGAGUGGAAUUCCGAGUGUAGAGGUGAAAUUCGUAGAUAUUCGGAGGAACACCAGUGGCGAAGGCGGCUCACUGGUCCAUUACUGACGCUGAGGUGCGAAAGCGUGGGGAGCAAACAGGG